rnacentral:lncRNA from 1 species
AAUGGCUUAGCUUGGGCUCAGAAGCCUGACACUGAUCUUCAAACACAGAUCUGACCCUAAGCCUUUUUCCACGCUGCUAACGUGAUGACUGUCUUCAGGAUGACCCUCCCCAAAACGCAGGUACUGUUUUUCUCACUUCAGCUUUCAAGUCACCCAGCCAACAAAUGUUGAGCACAGAAGGAAUAACAAUUAUAGCAGCUGAGACUACUCGGACUCUAUCAGAUGGGAGGAUACAUUUCUUUUCCAAGGUUAUUGUGAGGAUCAGGUGAGGUUUGCACAUACUCUUGCUUCGUGGACAGACUGAGUCUACAGAGCUGUGUUUAAACUCUGGCCCCUCAACACACUGUAUGGCUUUGGGCAAUAACUAACCUUACCUACCUGUAAAACGGAGAUAACAGAACCUCAAGGUGCUGCUGUGAAGGUUACAUGAAGCGAGACAUGUGACGUGCUUGGCAUGUGGUAAUGACUUUGUAAACACAAGCUGCAAUUAUGUGUGUAGAAAACCUUGGAGACAGAAGAUGCAGUAAUGAAGACUUUCAUGAAAAUGAGUCAGGUGUUAAAAUAACUUAAUGUAUGUUUGGUUCUCUUGGUAAUUCUACUCCACCCCCACCCCAUUCUAUCAUUGUCUGUCUUUCUAGUUCUCUCAGUUGAAAAGACUCCACUUGAGAAGGCCCCAGCCCACCUGUUUCAAAAUACAGGGAAAAAUGCCAAAUAGCCUCCCCAGCUGGGCCCUAACUGCCUCUGAUAAAAAGGAUGAAGAGAGGUGAAUUCUGAAAAUUAAACAAAUCCUGGUGUCUUUGAAAGGUCACCCAGCUCUGACGUUGGCCGUCCCGUAGGUGACAGACCGCAGGGCCAGCCGGCAGGAAGAAGGGAGACUCAGGAGCAAUUAAAACCAAAGUCUAGGGUGGCCAGAGAGGAAGGCCCCAGGAUGCCACUCCCAGCAGGUAAGCAGCCUGCAACGAGAUGAUGGAGACUUGUUCUGCAGAGCUAGCUGUUCACAAGUGCCUUGUGAACACCUACUUUGUAUAAGCAGCAAGAAUCAAAUUCUGUCCCUCCAUGGAAGAACCCACUUUCUAGUGGAAUGUUAGCACUUCCCUCCAUCCCAGCAGCAGACAAGGAUUCUAUCUCCAGAGGUAGACUUCUGAUCUCUCAGCAGCAACACAGAUGAAGAGGAUGGUUCCAGGGCUUUGACUUCACUGGGAUGCUGCUUUUCAUGGGAACCUGCAGGAGAAAUACCAUCAUCACUUCUAGCAUCUAGGGUACUUCUACUGUUAUGAUUCUGAGCGUGGGUGAUGGCUCAUCUGGGCACCUACUCUCUGCAAGGCUGUGAACCUGAUCCUCUGAGUAAUCUUCAUGACAGUCCUGAGGGGGUGAAGUUGUCCCCACUUGGGGACAGUGAAUGAUGGAAUGAUCUGAUCCCACAUCUUCUGCCAAAGCACACACCAUAGAAACAAGCAUGUGGAUUGCAGGGCCUCACCUCCUUGGUCCUCCUGGGACAUCUCACAUUGACACAGCCCACGCUGCUCAGCCCACCAGCUCUCAGCAGGCCUGCUGCCCCUGCCCUGACCCCGGUUCUCUGAGAGGUUGAAAGGCCAUGGUGAGAUAACCCAGCUCCGUGCCCCCACCUGGCAGAAGAUCAGUUAAAAGGCAUCCAAGCGGAGGACCCCCGUGGCUGCCUAUUUAGAGUUCCUUCAGAGCCUCCCAUGAUAACAGCCACCAUGGCUGAGCGCUUACAUAGCAGAGCUUACAGCUAAGAGCAUGGACUCUGAAAUAAGUCACCUGUCAUCUCCAGGCCUUAGUUUGCUCUUCUGUGAAAUGGGCAUAACGGUACCUCUCAGAGUGGUUAUAACUAAAAGAUCAUAUGCAUGAAAAGACAUACUGCAUGUUGCAUGUUGUCAUGUGGGAACUAAAAGUUGAUCUUGUAGAGUAGAAUAGUGGUUACUGGAGGAUGGGAAGGGUCAGGGGUGCAGGUGGAGAUAGCCCAAGGUAGGUGAAUGGAUACGAAGUUACAGCUAGCUAGGAGGAAUGAGCUCCAGUGUUUUAUAGCAUUGUAGGUGACUGUGAUAGUAAUUUGUUGUAUAUUUUCAAAUAGCCAGAAGGGCAGAUUUUGAAUGUUCCCAACACAAAGAAAUGAUCAAUGUUUAAGGUGAUUUUUAUGUCAAUUACCCUGAUUUGAUCAUUAUACAUUGCAUAACUAUUGUAAUAUCACUGUACCCUAUAAAUAUGUGCAGUUAUGUCAAAUAAAAGCAAAAAUGCUAAAAAAGAU